UGAUUCUAACAUUGGUAACAAGUAUCAAAGAGUUGUGCUUUGAGUUUCCAAGUUCUUGAUGGUACAAUUUAGUAAUAGUAUCACAUUCUUGUGGUUCGGUCCUUCCUUGAAUUUCACGUAUAGCGGGAGCCUACUACAUUAGAUUGCCUUUUUAAAAAGAUUUAGUAUUAGUAUCAGAUCCUUGUGGUUCGGCUCUUCCUAGUACCUCAUGCACAGCGGAAGCCUAUUGCAUUGGAUUGCCUUUAUUAAAAGAUUUGGUGUCAGUUCCUUGUGGUCCGGCCCUUCCUUGAACCGGCUCUUCCUAGUACCUCGUGCAUAGUGGAAGCCUAUUGCAUUGGAUUGCCUGGUGUCAGUUCCUUGUGGUCCGGCCCUUCCUUGAACCUCAUGCAUAGCGGGAACCUGCUGCAUCAGAUUGCCUUUAUUAAAAGAUUUAGUAUUGGUGUCAGAUUCUUGUGGUCUGGUUCUUUCUUGAAUCCCACGCAUAACGAGAGUUUAGUGCAUUGGAUUGUCUUUUUUCAAAAAAUGUAGUACUAGUAUCAGAUCCUUGU
rnacentral:lncRNA from 1 species